rnacentral:lncRNA from 1 species
CUCCUUUCACAGCCCCGGAGUGGCCUGGCGGCCUUACAGAACCGAACCGUGGGUUUACGUAAGUGCACAUAUUUGCAUAGUUCCACACACCGUUUGCCAUUUUGUCGCAGACUCACCGAGCGAGCGGAAGCAGUUACCAGUUACGACGUGGCGUCCGAACUCCUCACUUCCCAGCUGGCGGCGCUGCGGCCUGGAGCCCGCGGGCGGGCGGGGAGGUCGUCAGGUGACGCUGACGAACCCCCUCGGUGGGAAGCCGCCUUCGAGGCCCGCAGGCCUGAGGCCUCCGCCACAAAGGGUGCGGCCUCCUGACUGGACAGACUUUCGCUCAGCUAUUGAUCCCUGGUCCAAUCAACUACAACUCAUUCAACUCACAAACAUGGUGUAACUGACCAAAGCAACUUCAUCCCAAAAGCACUGCCCGGUACCCUUUCUCCAGAAGGGCCCUGUGGCCGUAGCAAGUGCUUCCAGGUGCCUGGAGCAACGCUGACCCUCAUACUCCUUGAGAAAAAGAUCCAGUGGUCAAAUAAAGUUGAAACAGUAAAAUAUUACCUCUUCCUG